rnacentral:rRNA from 1 species
UACGGAGGGUGCGAGCGUUGUCCGGAAUCACUGGGCGUAAAGGGCGCGUAGGCGGCUCAAGCAGCGUGUGGUGAAAGCUCGGGGCUCAACCCCGAGUCGGCCGUGCGAACUCUUGGGCUGGAGUGCUGUAGAGGUGGGCGGAAUUCCGGGUGUAGCGGUGGAAUGCGUAGAGAUCCGGAAGAACACCGGUGGCGAAGGCGGCUCACUGGGCUGACCUUGACGCUGAGGCGCGAAGGCGUGGGGAGCGAACGGG